rnacentral:RNase_P_RNA from 1 species
GUAGUCGGUCGGGCGACCGCUGUGGCUACGCCGCUUUUGUUGGCGUGGUGGUAGAGGAAAGUCCGAACUCCAGAGAGCGAUGCGCCGGGUAACUCCCGGUCAGGGUGACCUGAAGGAAAGUGGCACAGAAAAUAUACCGCUCGUGAACACGGGUAAGGGUGAAAAGGUGCGGUAAGAGCGCACCGCAUGGAUCGUAAGGUCGAUGGCAGGCUAAACCCCGCAUGGAGCAAGACCAAAUAGGGAAGCGUUAUUCGAGUUGCUCGCUCGAGGCUUCCGGGUAGGUCGCAUGACUUUGCCAGCGAUGGUAGAGCUAGAGGAAUGGUCGCCGCCGUGUGGCAUAAGCAAUUGUGCUGGACGGUACAGAAUUCGGCUUACAGUCCGACUGCGACG